CUCUCUUUUGUGUGAUGUCAGGACUUCCUGCCGGGCUGUGUCCAUGUGGAUGAGGCCCCUUUGUCCUGGGAAAUCAAAUGAUGUGGUCUCUUUAGACGCACUGGGCUGGGAGCCCUGGCUCUCACGUGGCCAGUGGACAUGACAAGUCAGAGCCAGGAGACCCCGGGUCCAGCCCCAGCUAAAUAUCAAGUCAGUUUCAACACACACACACACACACACACACACAUUUGAAUGUAGAGAACUCAAGCUUUCAACACGGACACUUGAUUAUGACGUCCGGAAUCUUUACACUUUCUAACGUGUGUGGGUUUUCAUGGUAAGGUCCCUACAGCGGCAGGAGGGUGCCCAGGUGAGAUCCUCAGGAAACCUUCGCUCAUAAUGAUGACGGUAGUGUGAGCACAAUGGGCCGACCAUCACCUACUCGGAGCCAGGAACUGUUCAAAGCCUGACGAUGAUGAGCUUGGAUCCCACUUUGCAGAUGAGUUACCGGAAGUUCAGAGGAGUACCCGUGCCAAGUGUCUCCCUGGUAACAAGCAGGCGAAGGAAGAGCCAAGCUUAAACAGGCUGACACCAGGCUCCCGCUCCGCAGCCACCAGGCUGUGUGACUGAAGGCUUGUGUGAAGCGGACGCAUGUCAGUGCACAUUCAAGCCAAGGGUCCGCGUGCCGCAGAGUGCUGAAAUUAUUUACCGCGUUCUCAGUGAGACUUGGAAACUCCCGGGCCUCGUGCAGAGUCAGCUGAUUGUGUUCACCGUGGCAGCAACCCACAGAGCGCCACUAACUUCCCACCAUUCUGUACCUGCAGCAGAGAAUGGUCGCUUCUUUCAAAUACUGAACUUUCUCUGGUUUCGUCAGAAGGGAUAUGAGGUUUCUAAGAAUAAAAAUAUGCUUAGAAGGGCUAUGAAUUUCAGAUGUUAAAACACAUCAUUUUCUUUCUUUCUAAUGUUCCCCCCGCCCCCCGCCCCUCACUGAUAAUUUGAGAACCAUGCUCUCUGGGAUUCGGGAUGGACCCUUUUCAAGGCUUUAUGGGUACCUUGUGCUCUAAGUUCUAAGAGGCAAUGCACCCCUGGAAGAGAGGGGUCCCAGUGAAAAGGCCAGUCUCUGUGCCUCUCAGCCCUGCCAUUUCCUCCCGCCCUCCCCCACCCCCCUUUGCCCUGGCCUGUGA
rnacentral:lncRNA from 1 species